rnacentral:rRNA from 1 species
UGGGGAAUAUUGGACAAUGGGCGAAAGCCUGAUCCAGCCAUGCCGCGUGUGUGAAGAAGGUCUUCGGAUUGUAAAGCACUUUAAGUUGGGAGGAAGGGCAUUAACCUAAUACGUUAGUGUCUUGACGUUACCGACAGAAUAAGCACCGGCUAACUCUGUGCCAGCAGCCGCGGUAAUACAGAGGGUGCAAGCGCUAAUCGGAAUUACUGGGCGUAAAGCGCGCGUAGGUGGUUUGUUAAGUUGAAUGUGAAAUCCCCGGGCUCAACCUGGGAACUGCAUCCAAAACUGGCAAGCUAGAGUAUGGUAGAGGGUAGUGGAAUUUCCUGUGUAGCGGUGAAAUGCGUAGAUAUAGGAAGGAACACCAGUGGCGAAGGCGACUACCUGGACUGAUACUGACACUGAGGUGCGAAAGCGUGGGGAGCAAACA